GUGGCUACGUUUCCACUACGUUCUCUUGUCCAUCAGCUGCUGGAAGCAAUCUUGGUGUUUACUGACUCCGCUGGGACGCCAGGGGCGAGGUGUCGGGUGACUUUCGGCGUCUCUGAUCUUUGCAAACCUGAAUGUGCUUUGCUAAACCAGGGUAAACCUUGAGGGCGGAACAAUUUGAAGGGCAUAUCCAGGAAUGUCAUAUAAAGGAUUUCUCUCUUCCCGGCGAUAUUACAGGAAUCCCCAAACCCCAGUUUUUCCUCACAGCGCAAGUUUUUUCUCUUGUCUGUUACGUUAGGCUGGAAUUUUCAUUGAAUGAUCAAUAACCACAUUUUUCUGGCAUCUACGGGAGUGCCAAAAAAAUGUAUACAGUGGACUCUUUGGUCAACGAAGCUCAGAAGUGUCUGGACGCUGAUGGUAACCACUUUGAGCACCUAUUGUAAUUGCAGAAGUCAAACGUGACUUGUAUUCAUCUUUUGAUGAAUUAUCGAGUCAAAUCUAGGGUUCCACCCUGCACUUAGUUGUGUCUCCUUAAUCUCCUUCAUUCCAUGACAGUUCCUCCGUCUUUCCUUGUCUUUCAUGACCUGGAUGCUUUGGAACACUAUUGAAACAACUGUUUAUAGGGCCAGCCCGGUGGCUCAGGCAGUUGCUCCGUGCUCCUAACUC